UGGGGAAUAUUGCACAAUGGAGGGAACUCUGAUGCAGCGACGCCGCGUGAACGAAGAAGGCUUUCGAGUCGUAAAGUUCUUUUAUAUGGGAAGAUAAUGACGGUACCAUAAGAAAAAGCCCCGGCUAACUACGUGCCAGCAGCCGCGGUAAUACGUAGGGGGCUAGCGUUGUCCGGAAUCACUGGGCGUAAAGGGUUCGCAGGCGGAAAUGCAAGUCAGGUGUAAAAGGCAGUAGCUUAACUACUGUAAGCAUUUGAAACUGCAUAUCUUGAGAAGAGUAGAGGUAAGUGGAAUUUUUAGUGUAGCGGUGAAAUGCGUAGAUAUUAAAAUGAAUACCGGUGGCGAAGGCGAGUUACUGGGCUCAUUCUGACGCUGAGGAACGAAAGCGUGGGUAGCAAACAGG
rnacentral:rRNA from 1 species